AGCCUGAACGCUGGCGGCGUGGCUAAGACAUGCAAGUCGUACGGUGUAGCAAUACACAGUGGCGAACGGGAGAGUAAUGAAUCGCUAAUGUACCCCGGACUCUGGGAUAGCUGCCCGAAAGGGCAGGUAAUACCAGAUGAUAUAACUUGAUCGCAUGAUCGAGUUCUCAAAGGUCCGCCGGUCUGGGAGCAGGCGAUUUCGUAUCAGCUAGUUGGUAGGGUAACGGCCUACCAAGGCGACGACGCGUAGCCGGACUGAGAGGUUGGCCGGCCUCAUUGGGACUGAGACACUGCCCAGACUCCUACGGGGGGCUGCAGUAACGAAUCUUCCGCAAUGCACGAAAGUGUGACGGAGCGACGCCGCGUGUAGGAUGAAGCCCUUCGGGGUGUAAACUACUGUCAGGGUUAGAAAGUUCUGAUCAACCCCAGAGAAGGCACGGCUAACUCUGUGCCAGCAGCCGC
rnacentral:rRNA from 1 species